AACCCCGUCAAUAACAUUGAAAUAAGAUUGUUUUAAAUAUAAUCAGACUAUAUAAAUAUCUGUUGUGUAAUUAUUUGUAAUGCAGGACUGAAUGAAUUUUGUGCAAAUUAACACCAAGAUCGAACCAUUUUUAUUCCCUUGUUCCAGUUGGGUAAGAGCACCAAGGAAACGUGCAACAUGCAGAAUGUACAGUUACAGACUAUGAAAACGACUCCCUCUGUAGGCUACUUACAUGUGUUUAAUAGACUGCUUCUAGAAGAAAUAGUUAUUUUCUUUUAAAACCUUCCCAAGCCAAGUGGUUUACCUGUAGACAUUUAACAUAUAACAUGAACACUGCGAUUGAGUGAUAUUUUAUGUUUUUUUUUUAUUUGCCUAUUGUAAUUUAUUAAAAACAUUAUUUUAGCUGAAACUAAAUGACUUUAACAAGUAUGUUAUGUCAUUAUUUUGUGAAAGCAAUUUCAAUUCAUUAAAAUUGAGUUAGAUGUGUGUUUGCAAUCAAGACCAAUCUCACCAAUGAUUGAUGAUGAAUUUUUAUUUUCAUUUUUAUAAAUAAAAUGAAACUGUUUAUGUUAUGUGUAUGCGUUAUGUAUAGUGACAUUAAAAACUAAAAUGUUCAAGAUUACAUUCUAAACAUGCUGUAAUAAAAAUGCUUUUGGCAGCAAUGGUAGCAAAAAUGAACGCCUUAUUGUCUAUAUAUAGUAUGUAUAUAGUGCAACUGUAUUUUUGUUUGUAUUUUAACUAUACAUCAUUUCAUCUCCUGCCAUACAGUGCAGGAAUUACAAUAAAGCCACUGCAGCCGUUUAACCUUUAUGACAUCAUAAAAGGAAUUCUCAGGAAUGUCUCUUUAAAACAUACUAACAGCAGAUGAGAGUAUUUUACUGAUGAGAGACUUAUAAUCAAUCGCAAGUGAACACAAGUGAGUUAAGAGAGCAAUAUUUGCAUGAUUAUAUACUUUUUAAUGAAUUCCUAUGAUUGUUCCCAGUCCGGGCCAGAGGAUGAGCAGCCUUCUAACAUUCCAUCACCUCAAAUAGGCCUGCAUAAUGGACCUGCCAUGACCAAAAAUGACCUCAUGCUACCUCCAUGCCCACCUCCACCUCCUCCCUCACCGGAUUACGGAGAUGAGGUGGAAUCUACCAGCCACAAUAAGGCCCUUCCAAGAUCUGAUGCGAUUGAGACUCAUUGUGGUGUUAUCACACCUGAAAAUUUGAUCUGGGAUCCUCCAAAUCUGCAGGAGCUUGGUCCAAUAAAAUUUGUAGGUGUUUACAACCUUCCACCAGCCUUCUGGCCAGCCAGCUUAAUGGAUAGGUUGAAGAAUCUUGGCAUUAAUGUGGAUGGGACAAACAAAGCUGAUGACAGCAGCACCAUACCAAAUCUAUCCUCCUCUGUGCCACAUAAUAUGAUUGAGGAGCUUCAUGACAAUUUGGAUUUCGCAACACCUGAGGAUUUCUUUAAAAUACUAGACCUCUCUUUUGACACACACGAUGGACAGACUGAGAUUGCUGCCAUCACAGGGCAGGAAGAGGACAAGCAUCAGCUGCCCCUCAGUCCUGGUGUCAUGGAAGCUGCAGCCACUGAUUCUGAGGAAAUUCUGCCUUAUUUCACAGGCUCACGAAAGAGAAAGAGGGCUAUUUACUCUGACAAUGAGUUCUCUCCUGCUACUGCUGAGAGUUUUGAGAUGCUUGAUGAUUUUGAGCUCUUUUGAGCCUCCACAUGCAAAGCCUCGACUGGACUCCAGUGAAGACCUUCUCACUACUCUUUGUCAUGCUAUCUACUUUAUACGAUUAAAGCAAUGUCUGUGGCAAUCAUCUGGGGAUUUUGACAUUCAAAAAUGUCAUAUCUGCUACUUAGUAUAUAAAAUGAGCUCAGAGAGUUGCAUAUCACAUUUCGGUAACACUUUACAAUAAGGUCUUAUUUGUUAAAAUUAUUUAAUGCAUUAUGAACUGCAUGAGCAAUAUAAUUUUACA